UUCUCUGCUGCCACUCCAGUGAGCUUGAGCUCCCUCUCGGACCCCAGAGCACAUGUCCUGCUGCUUACAGUUCUGGAUUCUCGGGCCAAGUUACACGCUUUAUUUAUACGCAGUGCCAUCUAGGGUCUUUUGCAUACAAGACCUGGAAUAGAUACCCAUCAGGGGACACUGAAACCUGUGGCAGAAGAGCUGGUGUGCGCUACAGUGAGAGCUCAGGUGGGGCCCAGCUGGCACACAAGCUGGAGUUCUACGUUUUUCCAGGAUGGGAUGUGUCUAUACACUCACAGUACAGACAGAGGCUUGCAAUCACACAAUAGGAAGGGCCUGACAUUGCCUCAGCGUGUCCUAAACUCUCAGAAGCUGCCUACUCAGGUCCCUGGAGGGUCUCCUAAGCCCUCUGCCUGUUUGCUCCUCUCUGGGGUUUCAUGGUUACCAGGGUAUGAUCAUCUCAGAGCCCAGGAGUGCCCUUGGAUGGCAUUUGCUAUGAGGUGACUGGUAUGAAGGAGUAGCUGACAUUGGUGGUAGUGGUGUCUUCAUCCUAUAUUCUGAGUCUGCAGGCUUGGUAAGAGCCCAGUAGACACUCAGGAUGUUGUCCUGUCAGUGCCGCACAAAGGCUGUAGGCUAGGGUCCUCAGGUUGGGCCACACUUGCUGAGCAGCCAUGGGAGGACUGAGGGUGUUCAGGUGCUCAUAUGUUCUGAGACCUCAGGUGCCCAUCUUACCCCGGAACCCGAUGUUCUCUGGUCACCUUACCUUUGCUUGGGUGGUGCCCUAUCUGGAAGGCUGGUUUCUCUCAGACAGCCCCGAAGACGCCUCCCCUUUCUCCAUGGUCCUUGUAUGGUCUUGAGCUCCACAGUGUCCUGAGAGGUGAGGGAGUCUAGUAGGAGAGGAGAGCCCUGGGUCCGCAGCGUAGCCGGCUCUGCCUUGAGCAGGAGCUGUUGCUAGUGUUAAAUGUCCUACAAAUCAGGGAGGGUGUUGGGUCAGGGUGAGGGUCCGUGUGAAGCCCCAGCUUCAUGCAGAAGGGCUGAGUCUGCACUGGGUGGGGCCCUGAAAUGAUGCAGACUCACAGACACACAGAGAGUGUGGGACACUAGAGUGUGCUGUGAGGAGCUAGAGUGGCCCUAGCCCCUGUUGCUAGGCAGCAUAUUUCCCUGGACACCAGUUGCCAUGGCAGCCGCUUCCUGCCCAUGUUGCCAUGACACCCAGAUGGCCUUGAGCUUGGAGUGGUGGUAAGGGGUUAGCUAACCAGACACACUCACCACCACCCCCCUUGCUGGUGCUUAGGGGAUGCUGAGGAGACAAGAGGGGAGAAUGGGCUAUGCUGUCUAGAGCGUCUUGCCUACAGCUGGCCUGAGAUGAAGUCAGGGGCCAUAUGAGCAGAUUAGCCUCUACUCACUGUGGCCUUGAAACUCACUGACACAUCCUUAUUUCAGGGCCUGAGUAGAGCUCAGAGUCAUAGAGUCAGCCACACCCAUUUCUGUGUUUUUAACUUGGGCUUCUGGACCUUACCCACCCAGUCUGUUCUCUCCACUUGCAGCCCUAAAGCACUCUGCACAGGACUAGAGGAUCCUAUGGCCCCUGGAUGAAUGUGCCUGGGGUUUUGCAGGCAUUCCUGGAGCAGCCUUGGAUUACUCUGUCACAUGGGUCUCUGCCAGUCCUUUCAUCUCCUUCCCCAGACCUUGGGUGUGGCCUGGGCAUGAACUCUCCUUUGCUCUGGUAGCAAGGAAGGUGACACUUGGCUCUGAGUCAUGGCCUGGGACCUUCCAGGUGUCCUUAGGCUCAUAGCCAGAGAGGCAGCUGAGGGAUGAAGUGGUCUGUGUGACCAAGUCACCCCAGGGCCACAAGGUAGGGGCUGCUAGGCCUCUGUCCUGGCAAAGCAGACAUGUGCUGCUGAAAACUGUGUGGCCUUCGUGGCCCUUCCCCAGUCUUCAGAGAGUGGGGGUGCAGAGCAAACUGAGGACUGGGCAGUGGGACCACACUGCUAGCUUCAUGCUUGUGCACGUCAGGAUUGUGGAAGGCUAAUACAGGCUCCUCCAAGGCUGCUCCAGGAAUGCCUGCAAAACCCCAUGAGUUUGAGGUCAACCUGGGACACACAGUGAGAUCCUGUCUCCAUGUCUUAGCCCCAAAGAAAGCACUAGGUGCCUGAGGUCUUCUGGGAAUCCCCAGUUCCGGAGGUUAAAGCUCCAGGAGGGAAGGUACGCCCAUGGGGUGCCCAGUACUAGACAUGGCCUCUGUGUUCCCAGAAUGUAUGUUAUGACAGGCUGUUUGCCCCUCUCUUCUGUGGUCACUCUCCGGAAGCCACUGCUCACAUUUUUAACUUUAAUAAUCAGAAAGGUAAUAUGAGUGCUCAAGACAUCCCUGGUGGAAGACACAGUCCCAGUGGAUAACCAUCAUUCCAGGAUGCUGGAGGCUCUGAGGCCUUACACUGGGAGCACCAUGCUCCUGUGCUCCAAGAGGUUGCUGGGUGUGAGCACCUCUGCCCAAACCGAAGCCCCCUCUCCUUUCUUAGGAGUCAGAUCUCUUCUCUUGUUACUUCCAGCCAGACAGUGGUGCCAAGAAAGUUCCAGGCUAUAAACUCCAAAGGCCUAUUUCUGUAUCCCGAUGACACAAAGACCCUCAGGUUAAAGUGGGACUGUGAGAAAUGAGGGCUCACUUUAAGCUGCCAAAAGCUGACUGACCUCUGGUCCGAUGCUAAUGGCAGGCAGAGCAGGAGUAGGCUGCAGUUCUUAGACUUGCCACCAGAUGGCGCCUCAACCCUGCACCAGGCACAGAUGCUUGGGAUCCAGCAUCCAGAGCAGACAGGCUAGGAAGAAAUUGCAGAGUCCACCAGGCUGAAACUUGUGCCAAGGAAGGGACAGAGCAGGCACAAAGCAUCCACCCCGACUUGGAUCUGUGGUUUCCACGAGGAGUAGCCAUGCGAUCACGAGGUUUGAGGAUGCGCCUUUCCCUACUGCUUAGCACAGUGAGAUCCUGUCUUCAUGUCUGACCCCCCGCAAAGACCCCUGCACAAGACUCUAGUAUAUGUGUGCCCUAUGAUGUGGUGCUGUCUUGGCUCCUCAUCCCAACAUGGUGCCAGUGACAGGAAGUUGACAGGCUGCAUGCUGUCGUCUGACCAUGAGACUCCUUCAGAGCCUCCAGAUAGCAAAUCGUCUGUCCGUGCUGUGGCCCUCGCCUCCUCUCUUGCCUCUGGGGGGCUUCUCUUUAUGCGUCCCUGUUUAAAGCUGGUUCUGUUGAGCAAGGCUGGCAAGUGGAUGAAAUGUAUCCCUGA